UACGGCCAUUUCACGUUGGAACAUCGGUUCCCGUACGAUCACCGAAGUUAAACAACGUCGUGCCUAGUCAACACUAAAAUGGGUAACCGCUUGAGAAUACAAGACGCUGUAAG